UUACGGCCACAUCACGAUAAAACGCCGUUUCCCGUACGAUCACCGAAAGCAACGUCGUGCCUGGCCAGUACCUAGAUGGGUGACCGCUUGGGAAUAUCAGGUGCUGUAAG